CCUCCUCAUGUCACAGUGAUCCGAACAAUUCAUUGAACUAUUCAAUCAAUAGGAGCGGCAAGCGGGUGUGUACAAAGGGCAGGUCGAACCUCCUCCUCUUUACCCUUUUUGAGGAUUUUUGAAACAAGGAAACUGCUUUUGUGAGUAGGUAAUGCUUUUGAAUGUAUCAAUUCCUUGGAUAAAUUUGGUUUGUUCUACAUUUUAUGGAUAUACUUCUUCAAAGCAUUAAUCUCUUUCUUGGGCUAUUGAAAUAUAACAAUGCUUAUUUCAUAAUCUUUCUUCACAAGGAAGGUUAAAGUGGGUUCAUUGGUAGAUGAUUUUGCAAGUAUGUUCAUUUCAAGAUAUUAACUUUCCAAUACAUUUGUCUAUGAACCAUUUGAUACUAAUUGCUUGUUGAGCUUUUUAUUCA